CUCCGAGCAAAACAAGGUAGCCAUGGAAAAGUUCAAAGAAGCCGAAGAACUAAGAUUGAAUAUUGAAGAGAAGAAUACGAUACUCGAGUAUGAAAUCAAGCUUGCCAAGAAUAAGGUUGCUGAUUACAAAGCUGAUAACAAAGAUCUUAACGUUCAUAACAGAGGUCUCAAACACCAAAUAGAGUUCCAGAAGAAAAGCAAUGAGGAGCUUGAAGGGAGAGCAUUCACUUUGGUAGAAAUGCUCGAUCUACUGGAGAAGAAAGUAUUUCUAGCUGAGAAUAGACAGAAGCAACUAGAGGGUGAGCUUCAGGUAAGAAACAUCCCAUCUCAGUAUGGCUAUUAUAAUUUUCUAUUCUUACACUUUAAAAAAAAAAAAAAAAAAAAAAAAAAAAAA